rnacentral:rRNA from 1 species
AUUGAACGCUGGCGGCAUGCUUUACACAUGCAAGUCGAACGGCAGCGCGGGCUUCGGCCUGGCGGCGAGUGGCGAACGGGUGAGUAAUACAUCGGAACGUGCCCAGUAGUGGGGGAUAGCUCGGCGAAAGCCGGAUUAAUACCGCAUACGACCUGAGGGUGAAAGCGGGGGAUCUUCGGACCUCGCGCUAUUGGAGCGGCCGAUGGCAGGUUAGCUAGUUGGUGGGGUAAAGGCCUACCAAGGCGACGAUCUGUAGCUGGUCUGAGGGGACGACCAGCCAACUGGGACCUGGAAACCGGCCAAGCCUCCUAGGGAAGGCGGAAGUGGGAAAUUUUGAAAAAGGGGGGAAGGCUUGACCCAGCAAGGCGGCGUGUGUAAUGAGGGCUUUCGGGUUGAAAAGCACUUUGGGGGGAAACAAAAAGGACUGUGCCAAUACCACGGUUCGAGAAGGGUACCCGCAGAAAAAGCACCGGCAAACUACUU